rnacentral:rRNA from 1 species
CAAGAACAUAAGUAUUGGGGGUAAUGCCUGCCCAGUGACACUGUUAAACGGCCGCGGUAUCCUAACCGUGCAAAGGUAGCGUAAUCACUUGUCUUUUAAAUAAAGACUAGAAUGAAUGGCCAAACGAGGCUCUACCUGUCUCUUACAAAUAAUCAGUGAAAUUGAUCUUCCCGUGCAAAAGCGGGGAUAACACUAUAAGACGAGAAGACCCUGUGGAACUUCAAAUAUAAAAUCAACUAUCACCAACACCCACCCUCGGGCCUUAUACCAAAUAGCACCUGAUUUUUAUUUUCGGUUGGGGCGACCUCGGAACAAAACAAAACCUCCGAAAAAUAAAAAACCCUUUAAACCUAGAACAACAGUUCAAAGUGCUUCCGGCAAAACGAUCCAAUACACUUGAUCAACGAACCAAGCUACCCCAGGGAUAACAGCGCAAUCCCAUCCUAGAGUCCCUAUCGACGAUGGGGUUUACGACCUCGAUGUUGGAUCAGGACAUCCUAAUGGUGUAGCCGCUAUUAAGGGUUCGUUUGUUCAACGAUUA